AUUCACUUGUGUGGGUAGUUUUCACUGCGCAGCUAUUGGAUAUCUCCCUGCAAGCAUUUUCUAUCGCGGAAGGCACCUCUAGUGACUUCUAGAAGAUGAAAACUAUCGUCCGCGAUAUCUGGAGUCUGAAAGUGUCGCUUAAGUGACUCCGGGGAGUGCCGCCGAAGUGGCACAUUUCUUCCCGACGGGAGUGACUUCUGCGAUGCGAAUGCGAUAUCGCCGAAAUCACUUCUGGAAGUUACUUAGAAGUGACUUAACACACUCUUGUAGAAAAUACCAGAGGAGCUUUUCCCCAUUGGAAAUCUUGAAUAAAAAACUUGUUUUCACAUGUUAGACAAUAUUUUGCAUUUAUAUUUCCAUAAGGUCUUAGAGCGCUCGUAGACACGGUCCUUGGCAUAUCGGAAAUGCUGCUUAAUAAUUUUAUUUAUGUUCAGCUACGUUCACAUGACAAAUUUAAUAAGAAGCCACAUUUUUUAUAUUUAAAAUUAAAAUAAAUUUGGAGGAUUACCUUUUAUAAUUGGGUGGAGAAUCUUUGAAUGAUUAUUUCACUGCAAUUGAGCCAGGUAAUGUGAAAAUAUCUUGAAGUAAUCGUACAGCUUCACGUAAAUUCGCACUCUUCGUUGAGUUGGACAUUUUAAUGUGUUAUACAAUUUCAAAAAUUCCGAAAAACAAAACAACACACAAAUUUUAUACAAAACUGGACUGAUUACAAGCAAAAGAACAAUAAUGAAACCACAAGGUUAUCGAUGGUCGUAUUUUACGGUCGUUUUUUUUUUUUGGUACUGUUCUCUUGACAAACAAAUAGUAGUAAUCCUUGCCUCUUGCAUUUCUUGUCAGUUGAAUUUUUUAUUGUAAAGAGUAAAUGCCAUCAAUUUUACAUACCCGUUACUACUAUACUAGAUUCUUCAGAAAGUAUCUAACAGACAAUAGAUGCGGGAAAGCUACAAGCACGCGAACAUCGCAAAACUCUAGAACGUUUUGGACUUACAGACGGAAAAAAUAGGCCUCUAGGGAACAUAAGCUGGAAGAAGCCUCACCCACCCUUACCAGAAUGCAGGGCGUCUUCCUGCAGAAACGGUUGAACAACCCCGAUCUGUCUCCUACUUCCUCAAAGCCCAUGUCUACAUAUUGGGAGCCGAAGCUAACAGCAUGCGUCGAAAUAUGCUGCCAAUGUUAAGAAGGCGGUAACGAUACUUUGGUGGGUCAAGAAGGAAUCUUUAAACUAUUUUCUUUAAUAAAAACAAU